rnacentral:lncRNA from 1 species
AGCAAUUGUAGUACUGUCCUGCUCCCAUUAAGUAGUGCAAAAAUCAGUAAGUGGUGGCCUAAUGCAGAAACACGACAAAGAAAACAGUAAAAGUCACAACGUGAGAUUGUAAGAAGAGAAGAAAGCGUACCUUGAAUAAAUUCAAUUCAACAAACACUAAAUUAGCUCCCUGCUAUAUGGAGAUUCUUGGGAAGAUGAAAAAGUGAAUUAGAAGCCGUGUUUGUACAUUAGGAAUUCUCAGAGUUUGAUCGAAGGAAACCAAAAUAUUUCUCUCCAAAAUAGUGAGUAUUGUUGAAUUACAAACCCUGAAAACAUGGGAGAACACUCUGUCUCAGCCUCUUCUUGCCUGAUGGCAGGCCAUCAAUCCUUUCUUGAGACAGAACUUGCUUAUCAGCCCAGAGAAGUUACCAACAGGCACUAGAAAAACUUGCAGACACAUCUUCCUACAUUUGCCUACCUUUUGAAAGACUGAAACUUUUCUCUCCUUUGUCUUUCUACUAUAUUGGAUUGAGGCUCUUUGUUGAAAUACUGUUUAAGCAAGUCCCCUAUGCCACUGCCUUGAGAGAAAUACUUUUGAACUGAGGCUUCUCCUGCAUGAUGGGUACAGCAUACCUUAAUAAAUGUCCAUUGUCUUUUUUUGUUAAUCUGUGUUUGUUUUCAAGAAACUAUCUCAACAAAGAACCUAAAAAGGAAAGACAACAAAUGAUGUUUUCUCUUCUACAUAACAUAUUUUGAAAGUUAAAGCCAAGCCAGGAAGAGAAUGACAACAUGAGAAAUCCCAAAUCAAGGUAAACACUGCUUUAGCAAAGAACAGAACUGUGAAAUAAACCAGAAGGAAUAUUAUCAUGGCUGUCAUCUAGGUAUCUCCCCACCCCUCCCUCUCACAAAAAACACUUGCCUUACUUCUCUUGAUAUUCUCCCUAUAAAAUAGAAACUGUUAGAGAAACUAUUUCUGCAUACCUGUGUUUUAGAAAAAAAUGUGUUUCAUAUGGAAUAUGUUUCUUUUUGUCAUUUCCAGCUGAUAGAAAUAUGAAAGAUAUUUAAGCCUUGCCCAGACAUUGAACAGAUUUCUUAAUUAAUACCGCAAAAGCUAAAACAAAACAAAAAAAACUUUAAAUAGGGCUUACAUUUGAAAAGCACCUGCACAUUUUGGACUACAUCUGAGUUUCAAAUUCAUAUGAAAGUAUUAUGAAAGUUUCAGAAGAUUCUCUAUUUCUUCUUAUUUUCAGGUUAUAUAUCUAAGUAGACGGUAUUUCAAGG